GCGGGCGUAGCUCAGUUGGUAGAGCGUCAGCUUCCCAAGCUGAAUGUCGACGGUUCGAGUCCGUUCGCCCGCUCCA
rnacentral:tRNA from 1 species